rnacentral:rRNA from 1 species
UACGUAGGUGGCAAGCGUUGUCCGGAUUUACUGGGCGUAAAGAGCGCGCAGGCGGUUGUGCAAGUCGCGUGUGAAAGCCCCCGGCUCAACUGGGGAGGGUCACGCGAUACUGUUCGACUUGAAGGCAGGAGAGGGAAGUGGAAUUCCCGGUGUAGUGGUGGAAUGCGUAGAUAUCGGGGGGAAUACCUGUGGCGAAAGCGGCACCCUGGCGUCGUUCUGACGCUCAUGUGCGAAAGCGUGGGGAGCGAACAGG